GUUGAAUUAUGGACCUCAAACUGCUUGUUAUACAGAACAGGUGCUAGAUAAAAAUGGAAGUCUCUAAAACUCCGUAAAACUAAGCAGCAUGCAAAUGAUGUACAUAUAACAUACAAUUACAACACAUGAUUAAAUUGGAUGUGGGAAAUACAAAUAAAAGGCAAUAUUGGAAGACGAGACAGAAGAAAACAUCAAAAUGUUUAUAUCGUUUUUUUGAAACAACAAAAUCUAUAAAUAGAAUGGACCAGUUGCUCAAGAUAAAGUGUUAUGAAACAUGUGCAUAUACAUGUAUGCUAAUUGCCAUUAUAAAAAGUGAGGAAGUUUUAUAAUUGGUAGUUGAAUUGAUUGUGGAUUUCAAGGCAUCUAAUACUAUUAGGAAGAUACUUGUGCAACAUGAUGUUGGGAUGUAUAACGAUAUUUUUAAUUCAGCAAAUUUCAUGAAAUUAUUAGUGGACAGAAAUUUCAAUCUUAUGCAUGCGGAAAUAUAAGACGAAAACAUAAUGUAAAAUUGUACAAUAAACACUUGCAAUUGCACCCAUUUAGCGUUUGCAAUGUAUAAAGUUUAGUCUUAUGGACGGGAUUCCAUGACCAAAAUAGACAGUAAGCAGUGAAAGUGGAUAGCUGGAUAGAUUUUGAUUAUGAUUUUUUUCAUUUCUUUGUCUUAUUUUUUUUUGAAGAGGAAAAGAAAUAUAUACACAUCUUUAUACA